GUCAUUUGUAAUAGCCCUGUACUAAAAUUGGAACGAUACAGAGAAGAUUAGCAUGACCCUGCGCAAGAAUGACGCAAAAAUAACUGCAGAUAGAGUGGUAAUAUGUUUUA